AAGGAAAUGGAGAGGUUUGGAGGAAAGAAGAUGCCACGUGUCGAAACAAGAGAAGAGUAAAAGUCGGUUCCUGACACGUAAGCGAAAUUUGGCUUAUUUUUGAAGAAGCGUCAAGCAAGGUAUCCUUUGAUCUUACGGUGCGCGCUCCAACGUUCUAAAACCGCCACGUGGAUUCGUCGCAAGAAUAGCUGAGGACAUGACACGUUUUCAGUUUCACGCUCUUGUUAUGAGAAGAACAGCCGUGUGGUCUGACACUCUGGUAAGCAGAUACGGACACGUGGUGCAAGAUCUUGCUGUCCCUGAGAAUCUCCACCGUCUUUUUCACUAAUACAGAUGCGAAGGGCUCAGAAGCUGUACAUCCAUGUGUGAUUUUGACACGUGUACAGAAUUCUCAACGUGGGCCCUAUACGAGUGGUUAGGGAGGUUCGUCGAUGACACGUGGAUUGCAUAGGCAACAGAAAACAGUAGAGGCCGAUCAAGUUGCUUCACAGUCUCGUCGAGUGAUACUGACGUUGCAUCGUACACGUGGCGGAAGUGGAGUGGAUAAAGAUAGGUAAAAACGACACUUGGCGAUAUAGAGGAGUAUGAGGUAUUAAUGAAGAAUGAAGGAUGUGGCGACACGUAAGGUUAAAAAAGUGGGCGUAUGUGGACCAAUACUUUAAAAAGUUUGUUACAGGAUGGGAAGAUUAGACGGAAAGGCAUGCAUGAAAGACACGUGUCCAAGCCUUAUGCUAGUGGGCAGCGAAGAUCACGAGAUGUGGUAAUAUGGAUUGGAUAGUUGUGGAGAUUGUUGAGCAUGAAAAUGAUGCGUUAAUUUUUCUCUAUUAAUUAGUUUGAUGAUUCUUAAUUAGAGAUAUAAAAAAGUAAUGUUAGUUCAUAAAA